rnacentral:rRNA from 1 species
CCGGCGACCGGCGCACGGGUGAGUAACACGUAUGAAACCUGCCCGUAGCAGGGGGAUAAGCGGAAGAAAUUCCGUCUAAUACCGCGUAACAACCCAUGGAGGCAUCUCUGUGGGUUUAAAGGAAGCGAUUCCGGCUACGGAUGGUCAUGCGUCGCAUUAGCUUGUUGGCGGGGUAACGGCCCACCGAGGCGACGAUGCGUAGGGGUUCUGAGAGGAAGGUCCCCCACACUGGUACUGAGACACGGACCAGACUCCUACGGAAGGCAGCAG